UUGAGAUUGGGCUAAAGUGAAAUUUUGUUUCUCUAUCGUCACUUUAGGCUCCAUUCUUCAGAGUUAGGGAUUCUCGAUCUUCAUGAGUCAAAGGUGUUUGGUGGGCCAAAAUAAAGCGUGUGAAUAGGUGUUUGUCUUUGCAAAUCAUCAAAUAUAACUGAAGCUUCCUCAUGCUUUGAGGAUGGCUUUUCAUAAACAGAAGAGUUUUGAGCAUCCAAUGAAAUGAACCCCUACUGCUACUACUAGUACUGGUAUGCACAAAACUCUGUUUUAAAUACAAUGCAGUUCACCGACAAAAGGCACCAGAGACUAUCCUAUACACCCAAAUGCUGGGACUAACAGUAUAAAAGAAUCAUAUGUUGAUUCUAACAUGAUCUUUUUUUUUUCCUUUUACAGAGUUUUAUUCCUAAUAUUACAGUUGCCAGAAACCGAUUCCAGCAUCCAUAAAAUGCAUUACUGCCUGGACCUCGUCCUGAGAUCCUGCAGUACACGAGGUUUUUGAUACACUAGGGUAAAGGAAGAAAUGUUGGCAUCUUCCACAUUCCUCCUCGUUUGGAGCAACUCAUGACAUCUGACUUCUCUGGUGAGAACGACUAUGUAUGACCU